ACGGGAGGCAGCAGUGGGGAAUAUUGCACAAUGGGCGCAAGCCUGAUGCAGCGAUGCCGCGUGAGGGAAGAAGGUUUUCGGAUUGUAAACCUCUGUCAACAGGGACGAUAAUGACUGUACCUGUGAAGGAAGCUCCGGCUAACUACGUGCCAGCAGCCGCGGUAAUACGUAGGGAGCAAGCGUUAUCCGGAAUUACUGGGUGUAAAGGGAGUGUAGGCGGGACUGUAAGUCAGAUGUGAAAUAUGCCGGCUCAACUGGCAGACUGCAUUUGAAACUGCGGUUCUUGAGUGAAGUAGAGGUAAGCGGAAUUCCUAGUGUAGCGGUGAAAUGCGUAGAUGUUAGGAAGAACACCAGUGGCGAAGGCGGUUAGCUGGACAAUAACUGACGCUGAGGCGCGAAAGCGUGGGUAGCAAACAGGAUUAGAUACCCUGGUA
rnacentral:rRNA from 1 species